UACAGAGGGGGCGAGCGUUGUUCGGAAUUACUGGGCGUAAAGCGUGCGCAGGCGGCGCGUUAAGACAGGUGUGAAAGCCCCGAGCUUAACUUGGGAAUUGCGCUUGUGACUGGCGUGCUGGAGUGUGGCAGAGGGAGGUGGAAUUCCACGUGUAGCAGUGAAAUGCGUAGAGAUGUGGAGGAACACCGAUGGCGAAGGCAGCCUCCUGGGCCAGCACUGACGCUCAUGCACGAAAGCGUGGGGAGCAAACAGG
rnacentral:rRNA from 1 species